UUUCAAAAAAGCUGAGAAUAAAAUCAAAAUAAUUUUUCUUUAUUCUCUCUAAAUGUUGCUGCAGCUUAUAGAUACAAUUUUAAUAGUUAAAACCAAGUUAGUCUUGGUCCAAACUGCAUAUUUAAGCGGUAUCCGAACCAAGUCUGAAAUUACAAAUCUUUGUUAUUAUUUCAGCGACAAUAAAAAUUAUCAUGAGUGUUCCCGGGUUGACGUCUAUAGAAAAAAAUGCUUAUCAUACAAUUUUCAUGUUAAAUUUGAAAACUGUUUUAAAGAUUAUUAAUGAACAUCUUUGGUCUACCAACCUCUUUUCAAGCUUUAUGGUCAUUGAAAGAAAUGUAGUAGAGCAUUGAUUGGCUAUGGGGAGUUGAUAAGAGGAAACUGCUGUCUGGCAGAUGGUACUAUUGGAAUUGAAGAGAUCUUUGAUUGGAUCCCAACUGACAUGGAACCCCAACUAUCUGUACAUACUCGUGUUUCGGAGGAGUGUGGGCUGAUUACUGCCUUCAUUAAGAAUCUCUAAAACUGUUUUAAAGAUUAUUAAUGAACAUUAUUGGUCUACUAACCUCUUUUGAAGCUUUAUGGUCAUUGAAAAAAUUGUAGUACAGCAUUGAUUGGCUAUGGGGAGUUGCCAAGAAGAAAAUUGUGUCUGGCAGAUGGUACUAUUGGAAUUGAAGAGAUCUUUGAUUGCAUCCCAACUGACAUGGAACCCCAACUAUCUGUACAUACUCGUGUUUCGGAGGAGUGUGGGCUGAUUACUGCGUUCAUUAAUAAUCUCUAAAACUGUUUUAAAGAUUAUAAAUGAUUAUUUUUGGUCUAUUUACCUCUUUUGAAGCUUUAUGGUCAUUGAAAAAAUGGUAGUACAGCAUUGAUUGGCUAUGGGGAGUUGCCAAGAGGAAAGUGCUGUCUGGCAGAUGGUACUAUUGGAAUUGAAGAGAUCUUUGAUUGGAUCCCAACUGAAAGGGAACCACAACUAUCUGUACAGACUCGUGUUUCGGAGGAGUGUGGGCUGAUUACUGCGUUCAUUAAUAAUUUUUAAAAUUGCUUUAAGGAUUAUUAAUGAAUAUCUUUGGUCUACUUACCUUUUUGAUGCUUUAUGGUCAUUGAAAAAAUUAUUGGCUAUGGGGAGUUGCCAAGAGGAAACUGCUGUCUGGCAGAUGGUACUAUUGGAAUUGAAGAGAUCUUUGAUUGGAUCCCAACUGACAUGGAACCCCAACUAUCUGUACAUACUCGUGUUUCGGAGGAGUGUGGGCUGAUUACUGCCUUCAUUAAGAAUCUCUAAAACUGUUUUAAAGAUUAUUAAUGAACAUUAUUGGUCUACCAACCUCUUUUGAAGCUUUAUGGUCAUUGAAAAAAUGAUUGGCUAUGGGGAGUUGCCAAGAAGAAAAUUGUGUCUGGCAGAUGGUACUAUUGGAAUUGAAGAGAUCUUUGAUUGCAUCCCAACUGACAUGGAACCCCAACUAUCUGUACAUACUCGUGUUUCGGAGGAGUGUGGGCUGAUUACUGCGUUCAUUAACAAUCUCUAAAACUGUUUGAAAGAUUAUAAAUGAUUAUGUUUGGUCUACUUACAUCUUUUGAAGCUUUAUGGUCAUUGAAAAAAUGAUUGGCUAUGGGGAGUUGCCAAGAGGAAAGUGCUGUCUGGCAGAUGGUACUAUUGGAAUUGAAGAGAUCUUUGAUUGGAUCUCAACUGAAAGGGAACCACAACUAUCUGUACAGACUCGUGUUUCGGAGGAGUGUGGGCUGAUUACUGCAAUCAUUAAUAAUUUUUAAAAUUGCUUUAAGGAUUAUUAAUGAAUAUCUUUGGUCUACUUACCUCUUUUGAUGCUUUAUGGUCAUUGAAAAAAUUAUUGGCCAUGGGGAGUUGCCAAGAGGAAACUGGUGUCUGGCAGAUAAUACUAUUGGAGUUGAAGAGAUCUUCGAUUGGAUCCCAACUGACAUGGAACCCCAACUAUCUGUACAGACUCGAAUUACCCUCGACAAUUGAACCCACUAUGCUGUCCUCCAAUUGUGAAAUCAAAAACAGCUUAACGUCAAAGCGACUACCUUAUUACAACUAUGGUGACGGAAAGCGAUCUAAGUUUAGGAAAUGAAAAUCAUUCUCAAAUUCAAUUUUACCUCAACUUCACCUUUUCCUCUAGUAUUUCGCAACAAACUUGUUUAGAUUAUUUUUGUAGACUAAACAACCUCUUAGAAGUUUUUUGCCAUUACAUAGUUUUUGAUCUGCAUGACUACAAAUGUGAUUUACCUACUAUUGCCUAGGCAUAAUCAAAACAUUCAACUUUGGUAUUAUGUCAAUUUAAUUAAAGUCCCCUGUUUACUAUUGCGGACAUUACGAUGCCGAACUGUGCAUUCUGUGCAUAGUAAGAAGAAUCCCCAACAAGUCAAAUCAGAUUUGUCGCUGAAUCAGCAACAUUGGUACUUUUUGUUGAUCUUUUCUGCUGUUUUCGAUUCCACAGUGAAAUACCUAAAACUGUAUUUGCGGAAUCCAGAACAAGUUGUGGACUCCACAAACAAAUAAUAAGGCAUUUGUAUGGUUAAAUUGAGCUGUUGCGGAUUCCGCAACUGUAAGUGGAAUCCUCAAAUUGUAAAUGGAAUCCGCCAAUUAUAAAUGUUAUCCGCAUUUUGUUUGGGUAUUCCCUUUACAUAUAUGUUUACAUGUAGUAACGUUUUAAAUUAUGUCUUUUAAUUAUAGGUGGUCACCAGCAAGUUCAAUCUCAAAUACUACGUUGAUCAGCUACCAGUCGAAACACCUGUCAACCUCAAUUCUUGUCAAAUUGACUUCGAUCUCAAUUCCUGUAACCUAACUUCGAUUUCAAUUCCUGUCAAACAUACCAAACUUCGAUCUCAAUUCCGAUACCACUUCGAUCUCAAUUCCUGUCAACCCAAUUUUGAUCUCAAUUCCUGCCAUCAACCUCAAUUUGAUCUCAAUUCCUGUCAACCCAAAUAUGAUCUCAGUUCUUGCCAUCAAUCUGAGUUCCUGCAAAUUGAACAUAUUGAACAAACUAUGAAGUAAACUCAUCUAAAUUUAACA